rnacentral:rRNA from 1 species
GUCCAGACUCCUACGGGAGGCAGCAGUGGGGAAUAUUGCACAAUGGGGGAAACCCUGAUGCAGCGACGCCGCGUGAGCGAUGAAGUAUUUCGGUAUGUAAAGCUCUAUCAGCAGGGAAGAAGAUGACGGUACCUGACUAAGAAGCCCCGGCUAACUACGUGCCAGCAGCCGCGGUAAUACGUAGGGGGCAAGCGUUAUCCGGAUUUACUGGGUGUAAAGGGAGCGUAGACGGCGGCGCAAGCCAGAUGUGAAAGCCCGGGGCUCAACUCCGGGACUGCAUUUGGAACUGUGUGGCUGGAGUGUCGGAGAGGCAGGCGGAAUUCCUAGUGUAGCGGUGAAAUGCGUAGAUAUUAGGAGGAACACCAGUGGCGAAGGCGGCCUGCUGGACGAUGACUGACGUUGAGGCUCGAAAGCGUGGGGAGCAAACAGGAUUAGAUACCCGAGUAAG